AACAAUAAUCUGGGGGGAGUGGCCUCGGGCUGGUAGGGGGUGAGAGGGGGGCUGAGCAGGGUGGCCAUCAGUAGUCCUGAUUGAGUAGGCUCAAGUCCCCACAGGGUGGCAGGAGGACAGAGAGGGCAUGCGCAUCAGGGUGAGUG